rnacentral:rRNA from 1 species
UACGUAGGUGGCAAGCGUUGUCCGGAUUUACUGGGCGUAAAGAGCGCGCAGGCGGUCGUUCAAGUCGCGUGUGAAAGCCCCCGGCUCAACUGGGGAGGGUCACGCGAUACUGAUCGACUCGAAGGCAGGAGAGGGUAGUGGAAUUCCCGGUGUAGUGGUGAAAUGCGUAGAUAUCAAGAGGAACACCUGCGGCGAAGGCGGGUUGCUGGGCCGACACUGACGCUGAGGCGCGAAAGCCAGGGGAGCGAACGGG